rnacentral:rRNA from 1 species
CUACCCUUGACAUGCUAGGAAUUCUGCAGAGAUGUGGAAGUGCUCGAAAGAGAACCUAGACACAGGUGCUGCAUGGCCGUCGUCAGCUCGUGUCGUGAGAUGUUGGGUUAAGUCCCGCAACGAGCGCAACCCUUGUCAUUAGUUGCUACGAAAGGGCACUCUAAUGAGACUGCCGGUGACAAACCGGAGGAAGGUGGGGAUGACGUCAGGUCCUCAUGGCCCUUAUGGGUAGGGCUACACACGUCAUACAAUGGCCGGUACAGAGGGCUGCCAACCCGCGAGGGGGAGCCAAUCCCAGAAAGCCGAUCGUAGUCCGGAUUGGAGUCUGCAACUCGACUCCAUGAAGUCGGAAUCGCUAGUAAUCGCGGAUCAGCACUUGUCGCGGUGAAUA